AUACGGAGGGUGCAAGCGUUAAUCGGAAUUACUGGGCGUAAAGCGUGCGCAGGCGGUUUGUUAAGUCAGAUGUGAAAGCCCCGGGCUCAACCUGGGAACUACAUUUGAAACUGGCAAACUAGAGUGUGGUAGAGGGAAGUGGAAUUCCUCAUGUAGCGGUGAAAUGCGUAGAUAUGAGGAGGAACACCAGUGGCGAAGGCGACUUCCUGGACCAACACUGACGCUCAUGUACGAAAGCGUGGGUAGCAAACAGGAUUAGAAACCCCGGUAGUCC
rnacentral:rRNA from 1 species